rnacentral:misc_RNA from 1 species
GAUGAAGAACGCAGCGGAAUGCGAUAAGUAAUGUGAAUUGCAGAAUUCAGUGAAUCAUCGAAUCUUUGAACGCACAUUGCGCCCGCCAGUAUUCUGGCGGGCAUGCCUGUUCGAGCGUCAUUACAACCCUCAGGCCCCCGGGCCUGGCGUUGGGGAUCGGCGGAGCCCCCCGUGGGCACACGCCGUCCCCCAAAUGCAGUGGCGGUCCCGCCGCAGCUUCCAUCGCGUAGUAGCUAACACCUCGCGACUGGAGAGCGGCGCGGCCACGCCGUAAAACACCCAACUCUUCUGAAGUUGACCUCGAAUCAGGUAGGAAUACCCGCUGAACUUAAGCAUAUCAAUAAGCGGAGGA